AGGCGGCGCUGGCGAGCGGUGGCCGCUAUGGUGAUUCGGCCACCGUCGGCGCCGGUCUGCCGGUGUUGUCCACACUGCGUCGCCUGC
rnacentral:tRNA from 1 species